ensembl:lncRNA
AUGAGAGGCAGAGCAGAGUUCGGUCCUCAGGAUCGGGGAGGAGAUGCCGGGAGACAGCUGGUGCGAUCGCUGGGCCGGUCGGGGAUCCGGAGCACAGGAGCCGGGCAGUCCAAGGAGCAGGCAACAGAAACCCGAGGCGCUCAGGCAGGACUCGUGGUCGGGGACAGAAGGCUGAGGUGCUCACCGGGGCGGAGACAGACGAACGGGUCGGGAACAGGCAGGGUCGAAACCGGGAGAUCAGUCCAAGGGGAAGGUUAUUCAGGAGCAGCAUGCAUAUCUGAAAAGAAAACACAAGAUGGUCCAGCUUCAAAGAAACC